rnacentral:rRNA from 1 species
GGACCAAGGAGUCUAGCAUGUGCGCGAGUCAUUGGGAACAUGACGAAACCUAAAGGCGCAAUGAAAGUGAAGGUUCGCCUAGCGCGAACCGAGGGAGGAUGGGCGGUCGCGAGUGACCGCCCCGCACUCCCGGGGCGUCUCGUUCUCAUCGCGAGAAGAGGCGCACCCAGAGCGUACACGCUGGGACCCGAAAGAUGGUGAACUAUGCCUGGUCAGGACGAAGUCAGGGGAAACCCUGAUGGAGGUCCGUAGCGAUUCUGACGUGCAAAUCGAUCGUCGGAACUGGGUAUAGGGGCGAAAGACUAAUCGAACCAUCUAGUAGCUGGUUCCCUCCGAAGUUUCCCUCAGGAUAGCUGGCGCUCGCUUCUUGCGAGUCUCAUUCGGUAAAGCGAAUGAUUAGAGGCAUUGGGGUCGAAACGGCCUCAACCUAUUCUCAAACUUUAAAUGGGUGAGAUCUCCGGCUUGCUUGAACUGUGAAGCCGCGAGAUAUCGGAUCAGAGUGCCAAGUGGGCCACUUUUGGUAAGCAGAACUGGCGCUGUGGGAUGAACCAAACGCCGAGUUAAAGCGCCUAAAUCGACGCUUAUGGGAUACCAUGAAAGGCGUUGGUAACUUAAGACAGCAGGACGGUGGCCAUGGAAGUCGGAA